rnacentral:rRNA from 1 species
CAGCAGCCGCGGUAAUACGAAGGGGGCUAGCGUUGCUCGGAAUGACUGGGCGUAAAGGGCGCGUAGGCGGAUUGUUUAGUUAGGCGUGAAAUUCCUGGGCUUAACCUGGGGACUGCGCUUAAUACAGGCAGUCUAGAGUGAGGAAGAGGGUUGUGGAAUUCCCAGUGUAGAGGUGAAAUUCGUAGAUAUUGGGAAGAACACCGGUGGCGAAGGCAGCCCCCUGGGCCAAUACUGACGCUCAUGCACGAAAGCGUGGGGAGCAAACAGGAUUAGAUACCCCCGUAGUCCCUGUCUCUUAUAC